GUCCGAGGGCUCCGUUUGAAACAUGGCGCGGGCUGGCCCUCGGCUGGUGCUGAGCGAGGAGGCGGUUCGGGCGAAGAGCGGCUUAGGGCCUCACCGCGACCUGGGUGCGCCGGAGGGCGGGCGGGGGUGCAAGCGUGAGGUGGCGGGGGGGUGGGUGCCGAGCUUCCCGGGGCGGCGGCGGACCGUGGGCAGGCGGGACCCGUCUACGCAGGCGCCGCGGGCGUCCGGAACGGUCGCGGGCGAGCGGGGCGCGCGUGUCCAGCUGAGCUUCAGUCAUUGUCUAUUCCUGGAACUUACCAAGAGAAGAUCACCCACCUGGGACAUUCUCUGAUGAGUUUAACAGGUCUGAAAUCUUUGGAUCUCUCGCGCAACUCCUUGGUUAGUCUGGAGGGCAUUCAGUACCUGACUGCAUUGGAGAGUCUCAAUCUCUACUACAACUGCAUCUCCUCGUUGGCAGAAGUGUUUCGGCUCCACGCCUUAACCGAGCUCGUGGAUGUGGACUUCCGGCUGAACCCCGUGGUGAAGGUUGAGCCUGACUACCGCCUUUUUGUUGUGCACCUGCUCCCCAAGCUCCAGCAGCUGG